UUCGCAUGCACACAACAACACCGGGCUUGCGUGCAUGAGCAUUCAGAGGCGGGGCACAUAGUGAAUUAUCUUCCAUAUGCAGUACUGCUGUUUAGCAUUGCUGUGAACAAGGAGAGUCAAUGUGUAUUGCAUUGAACCUGGAUGUGUUGCAGCUGCUUCGCAACCUAAACAUGGAGCUAUUGGCUUUGAAUUGUAUUGUGGAAAUGUAUUACCAACAGAGGUGCAGGUGCCAGCCUAUUGAAAUAGAGCGUCAAUGAGGGUGAGAAUCCUGUUUGUCAUGUGCAGCCCUUUGUGCACGGUGUAAAUUUGCUGAGUCACACUCCUUGGCGUUGGA
rnacentral:misc_RNA from 1 species